AUGCAAAACUACUUCGCGGACAAUCCAACAUAUCCGCCGCACCUCUUUCGGAGAAGGCACCGAAUGCGCCGCUCCCUCUUUGUAAAAAUAGUGCAAGCUUGUGAGGCCAAUUGUCGACAUUUUACUCAAAGAAGAAAUGCCGCGGGAUUGAAGGGAUUUAGUCCAUAUCAAAAAAUCUCGGCAGCUAUGCGGGUAAUUGCACACGGUAUUCCGGCUGACUAUGCCUAUGAGUAUCUUCGCAUUGGUGAAGACACUACAAUUGAGUCGGUGCGUAGGUUUGCCAAAGUGAUCAUCCGUGUCUUUGGUCCUGAAUAUCUUCGGACACCCAACGAGGAAGACACAAAAAAGUUGAUGGCACCAAAUGAGAGAAGAGUAUGCAUUGGACUUGGAAAAAAUGCCCGAAGGCAUGGCAUGGAAUGUAUUGUGGCAAGUCCCGUGAUGCAACAAUUGUGCUAG
rnacentral:rRNA from 1 species